AGAGGGCAGUUGAGUGGAGAAUGCCCCCGCUCACCGCAGAUAGGGCACCAGCAGUCAUGCAUGACCGCCCGGAGGAUGGCAUCCCAGCUGCUCUCCCGCUUGGUGGCCGCGGCUGGUAGCUCCCGCUUCUGGGGUCUCCCCCGGGGUAUCUGGUCCUGGCUCGCUUGGGCAGCCCACUCCUCUCCCUGGUAUUGGGUGGGGCAGAUGGCCACGGUGUGCCCAAACUCCCCACAACCAGGGCACCACUCCUCCACCACAACAACCCCUGGUGGCUGCUGUUGCAGCUGCUUUUGCUGCCUUCUGCCGCUCUUCCUCCUCUCUUCUCUCAUCUUUCUUCCUCCCAUCCUCCUCUUCACACUCCUUUUCUCCCUCCACACAAUUAGAAAAAAAAAAAUGAAAAAGCUGCAGUACCCUCUUCUGCCUGCGUCUAGGAGGCGUUGCGAUCCCACGCAGGACACCACGUGUGACAGGAAUGGACGAGUGGUGACGUCACGGCAGAAGAAGGGACAACAAAAACAAAAGAUGUGAAGCAGGAGGCGAGGCUCCGUGUGGAGGCUGAAGAAGAAAACCCAGCAGUCCUUUGUGAAAGAACCAGACCUGUCCAUCCCUGCUGAACUUGACAUUCAGCAGCAAAAGAAAGAUCUGAGGGGGGAGAUGGUGGUGGAGAUCAGGAGCCAAAUGACCACCCUGUCCAACGAAGUGGUAAGUGGUCUGAAAGCAGAGUGGAGCCAGGGAGAAUCAGGAUGGAACAUCCAGCCAUGUCCACCUCCCUGGCAUGAUGACGCUACUGCACAAUGGCCAGUAAUGCCACACCCUUCACAGAGACAAGACUCUCAGACUGGUUUUAGAGGGACAUUUUAAUCAAUAUGAUGCACAAAGGAGGCCUUUCUGCAGACAUUGUCAACAACCAGGUCAUAUUCAACGCCAUUGCCGACAGAGGGGAAUACAAAAUGAUGUCACCCAGCAGUUGAUGCAACCCAAGAUGACGGCAUGUCUAAUGAAGCCCUGAUUGGAGAAAGCCCAGUUGUUUCUGUGAAGAUGGGAGAAUAGAUUCAAACCUGUCCUUCCACUGCCACUUGAUUUCCAUGACACCUCCUAUCAAGAGCAGACUGAAGUCCAAUUUAAUAUUUCGGACAGUAUAUUGACAGUAAAGUGUUUGGGAAAGUCAGGCCACUUCUAGACAGUGUGUGGCAAGGCUGCCUCCGCCAACAAGCAGAUGCAAAGCUCUCCAUUGAUGAACAAAUGGUUCAGUUAGGCUGCUGUACCUUCAAGCUGUUGUGCCAAACAAGCCAAACCAAACAGGAUUGGAAAUAUUUGUCCUUUCCUCACCAGUUGGUCUUGUAUUAGAUUUUAAGGUGUAUCAAGAAUACUUUCACUGAUACAGGAUUAGGAAUUAGAGCAUCAACAGUCCUGCGUGUGGCUGAACAUGUUCCCAGACGUGCUCAGCUCUUUUUUGACAGGUACUUUACAUCUGUCAACCUUUUGGAUGCAUUGCUGAGAAGGGCAUAGCAGCAAGUGGGACAGUAAUGAGGUCCAGAAUCCCAAAAGAAUGUCGGAUGAUUGACAACAAAAUUCUGAACCAACGCGGAAGAGGAGCAACAGAGAUGACCAUUAGAACCCCUGGAAUUGCUGUCACAAAGUGGUAUGACAACAAGCCUGUGCUCAUGGCCUCCACAGCAUACGGGAUAGAGCCCCAGGAUUACUGUACAAGAUGGUCCAGUGAAGAGAAGAGGCACAUCCAGGUAGCACGACCCGCUGUCAUCAAUGAAUACAACAGCAGCAUGGGUGGAGUGGAUAUGUGCGACCGCAUGCUACAGGGUGGCAAGUAGGAGCAGGACAUGGACUGUGCAGGUUAUCAUCUUCAACUUCUUCGACUUGGCAAUAACCAACUCCUGGAUUCAGUACAAGUCAGACAGCAUUGCAUUGGAUCAUCCUGCCAAAAACACCAAACAAUACUUGGAAUUCAAGCUGCUGCUAGCUCAAGAGCUGAUUGCACAGGCACAGUCAUCCUCAGGGUGAUGUUGUAAUCACAGAUUCCAGUGAUGAUGAUUAUGAGCUACAGUGCAAAAAAUGGGUGCUGCAACCAGACCCAUUCAAUACCCAUACGGAGCUCUGCAUUUGCCAGAGAUGAUGCCCGACAAACAUGCAUCAAGAUGCCGAAGAAAAGUGACAGGAAAACCUACGUGAUGUGCACUAAAUGCAAAAUGUUCCUCUGUGUUGCCAAAAAGGGGAAUUGUUUCAAGGAAUACCACAUCCAAAACAAACCAGAAGUUAAAAUAAAUAUAAAGAUAAAUAUAAAGAUAAACACAUACUAGUUUACAUUAGAAUAGUCAAAAUAUGAUGUUAUUUCUCAUUGUGACUAAUUUAAUCGUUCAGAUGAAGAACCAUAUACGUGCACUCCAAGUAGUUUUGAGCUAUUCAAUCUUUUUUUUUUUAUGUAAAAUGCUAAAGACAAUGUCCUGAGAUGCAUUACAUGAAUCAUGAACCUUAUCCUUCUGUAGGCCUUCAUUUUUCCUAAUUAUUUUUUCAGUGGGAUUUAUUUAGGUUUUACAGACUUUUUAAAACAUGUAGUGCAGAAGAACAGUAUAUCUCCAGCUAUUUGAGAUUUUGUGGAAGAACAGUAUAUAUUACAUGACAAGGAAUAUUUAAUUAAAACGUUUAAUAUUUUUCCAAAAUACAAUUUGAAUUAAAUUCACUAGGACAACAUUACGUAUAGUUUUGCAAAAUAAUUUACAAUAAAAUAAAACAAAUCCACUGUCAAAUGUAAGAUGGGUCACCAUGAACAGUGUUAGUAAUUAGCUUGUAUUGCUUCUGUAAUUUUUUCGCGAUCGCUAUUGCAGGUAUCAUGGAAUAACUUUCCCUUAAAAAUAAAAAUAUUGGCAACCGUAAUCAAUGUCAUCAUCAAUUAAUUUAUAUAUACACGUAAUAAAAUAUGAAUGUCAAAAAAUAAAAUAAGCCUGUGCAGAGUAUAAUAGUUACAUUAUAACAAGGCAAAAAAAAAGAAACCUGUCUAUAAUCCGUCCUUGAAAUAAACACGCCUCAUGCUUGUGUCCGUUAUAUUAUAACAAGACAAAAAAAAAACCUGCCUAUAAUCCGUCCUUGCCUCAUGAAAUCUACCAAAUAAUAUAUUUUUUACAAUGUUCAAUGAAAGUAUUUUCUAAGAAAACAAACACAGGUUUUUCAGCAAAUAAGGACAUACACAUAUACGGUUUUUCCAUAAAACAAAACACAUACGUUUUGGAAAUUUUUUGCCUGUUUUCUUUUCUCCCUUUCUGUAACAUAUGACUUCCCUGCAUCCCUGAGAUGUUUUCGUUGUUUGUCUUUCCACUGAUUCAUAAUUCGUUUUUUUUUUUUUUUUUUACCAAUAUUGACUCUCUUUUCAUCAGCGACAAUUAACAAUUAGUAAAAUUAACGUGUCCAUCCGCCAUCUUCAUUCUUGCACAUAUACAUACGGUUAUUCCAGUACACAUGUAUUUUGUUGCUAUGUAGGAACCUGCAAUAGCGUCAGAAAACCACAAUAUGGCAUAUAUGGGUAAAGAGACUCCCUGGCCAUCAGAAUAUAUCCAUAAAUACAUUUCUUUAUAAAACUUGAGUUUUACGGUAUUUUGUCGCAAGGAUUCAGUUGUUAAGCUAGUCGCAUUUUUCAAAUUGAGAAACUUUUUUUUUUUUUUUGCUGGGUCUCAGGAGGCAGAAUCCUGUUUGGGAGAUCAGAAUUUUGAGUCUCUAUUAAUAUCUGGAAGAUGUAAUUGUGUGUUUUCUCCAGGGGCUGGUUGUACUAACUAGAUCAAAAACCAGCCGGAUCAUGAAAAGGCGUUGUAAUAAGCGGAUCAGGAUCAAGCUCCACUGAUCCGAAAUCUUGAUCCGAUCCUGGAGCUGCGCAGCCGUAACUAGGGAAACUGACCAAUGAGAAGCGAAUAUGCGUGGCGCAGAGACUGAAGAUUCUGAAUUUAUGUUGUUUAAAUUAAAUACACUUGAUUUUGUGACAUUCAUUAUUUCUUAUUUCUUGCUAAGAAAUAAGAAAUAAUGAAUGUCACAAAAUCAAGUGUAUUUAAUUUAAACAACAUAAAUCAGAAGCAACUACUGUACAUGUAUAAUUUAAAACUCCAUCGAUUCUAUAAAAACAGAUCGAGUAUAUGGUUUUGUUUUGUUUUUUUAACUUCUAAAAAUGUUUCAGUAAAUGUUACCGUAAUCACGGUCGUGUGUAUUUUCUGACGGACACACAGAUAUUUUACAGGUUUAUUAAGUUAUCGUUACAAUUAUUCAAAUUCGGUAUCGUGCUUAUUUAAAUAUUAUUUUAGCAAUUUUAAAAAAGGUUUCAGUUAUGUAUUUUGAUGAUGCAUGGUCCAUUUCAAAAACGUUCGAUCAAGCUCUGAUCAGAUUCUGAUCUUGGUCUAAAUUAACAAACACGCUUGAUCCGAUAGUUGGGUCGUAUUCUUACUUCUUCCUCGCCGAAAACCUCAAGAGGGUUUUGCCUAUCUUUAAAAACCCGACUUAUACGUGUCUGACAGUUUCGAAUAAAAAAUGAAUUACGUUUAGUAACUCAAUUUUUCAAAAGUGGGAUCAGGUUCUGAUCCUGCUCAAAAGCAAGAUCAGGUUUGCGCUCAGAUCUGAGCUCAGAUUGAGCACUGAUCCAUUUAGUACAACACAACUAGGACAACCGGCCCCUGAUUUUGCCACUCACCUUAAACAUCUUGAAUUUGUUUUUCAUAGACAAGCACAAAAUGGCCUUAAGCUCAAGCCUAACAAAUGUCAUCUCUUUCAGAAAACUGUACAGUACAUGUGGUUUCUGCAGAGGGAGUUACCCCCGUGCUUGACUGGCCAAUGACUGGCUUGACUGAGCUGUAGUCGACUGGCCAAUUCCAAAGACAGUGAGGGAGCUGCGAUCCUUUCUGGCUGGUACCCGGGUCGAGGGUUUUGUGGGGUAUCCGAAAGGACUUUGAGACGAUUGUACAAGGAGACAACUUUAAUAUGCGGUACACCAGCCCCUCGGUUCUAACGGGUGCCUGUGAGUUUUGGGGGACCAGCGGCUGAUGGAAAGGGGGUCCAUUUCGACCCUGGAUAAUCUGAGAGACUGUCUCUGGGUUCAUGGAGGAGCGUGAGUGAACAUUUGUCACGGUCUUGGCCGUGGGAGCCCAAAUGAUUAUUGUGCUGCAAACUCGUCAUUCUAUUUACAUUUAUUGAGUAUAUUAUAUGAUUGCUUAUUGUGUUGCUAAAUAGUCGUUCUGGUUACAUAUAUUAAGUAUACUAUAUGAUUGAUUACUGUGCUGCUAACUAGCCAUUUGUUUGCCUAUAUUAGGUGUAUUAUAUGACAGAUUAAUGUGCUACUAACUAGUCAUGUGUUUACAAGCACUAUACUUGCCUUUAACUGAUGGCUUGAAUUAUGUGAUACAUGUGAUUCAUAGAAAGAAUUAAUUGUGCUAACAUAGUAUACUAUCCUCAUAAGUAUUUAACCAUUAAAGAUUUCUGUGUGUCAUUUUCUCCUUAGCUAUUUAUCCAAUUGUAAGAUAUA